UACGUAGGGGGCAAGCGUUGUUCGGAUUCAUUGGGCGUAAAGGGUGCGUAGGUGGUGGGGUAAGUCGGAUGUGAAAUCCCGGGGCUCAACCCCGGAACUGCAUUCGAUACUGCCUUGCUCGAGUACUGGAGAGGAGACUGGAAUUUACGGUGUAGCAGUGAAAUGCGUAGAUAUCGUAAGGAAGACCAGUGGCGAAGGCGAGUCUCUGGACAGUUACUGACACUGAGGCACGAAGGCCAGGGGAGCAAACGGG
rnacentral:rRNA from 1 species